rnacentral:rRNA from 1 species
AUUGAACGCUGGCGGCAGGCCUAACACAUGCAAGUCGAGCGGAUGAGAAGAGCUUGCUCUUCGAUUCAGCGGCGGACGGGUGAGUAAUGCCUAGGAAUCUGCCUGGUAGUGGGGGACAACGUUUCGAAAGGAACGCUAAUACCGCAUACGUCCUACGGGAGAAAGCAGGGGACCUUCGGGCCUUGCGCUAUCAGAUGAGCCUAGGUCGGAUUAGCUAGUUGGUGAGGUAAUGGCUCACCAAGGCUACGAUCCGUAACUGGUCUGAGAGGAUGAUCAGUCACACUGGAACUGAGACACGGUCCAGACUCCUACGGGAGGCAGCAGUGGGGAAUAUUGGACAAUGGGCGAAAGCCUGAUCCAGCCAUGCCGCGUGUGUGAAGAAGGUCUUCGGAUUGUAAAGCACUUUAAGUUGGGAGGAAGGGCAGUAAGCUAAUACCUUGCUGUUUUGACGUUACCGACAGAAUAAGCACCGGCUAACUCUGUGCCAGCAGCCGCGGUAAUACAGAGGGUGCAAGCGUUAAUCGGAAUUACUGGGCGUAAAGCGCGCGUAGGUGGUUUGUUAAGUUGGAUGUGAAAGCCCCGGGCUCAACCUGGGAACUGCAUCCAAAACUGGCAAGCUAGAGUAUGGUAGAGGGUGGUGGAAUUUCCUGUGUAGCGGUGAAAUGCGUAGAUAUAGGAAGGAACACCAGUGGCGAAGGCGACCACCUGGACUGAUACUGACACUGAGGUGCGAAAGCGUGGGGAGCAAA